UACGUAGGGUCCAAGCGUUGUCCGGAAUUAUUGGGCGUAAAGAGCUCGUAGGCGGUGUGUCGCGUCGGAUGUGAAAGCCCGGGGCUUAACCGGGGAAGUGCAUCCGAAACUGGCGAGCUUGAGUACCAAAGAGGGUCGCGGAAUUCCCGGUGUAGAGGUGAAAUUCGUAGAUAUCGAGAGGAACACCUGCGGCGAAGGCGGGUUGCUGGGCUGAUACUGACGCUGAGGCGCGAAAGCCAGGGGAGCGAACGGG
rnacentral:rRNA from 1 species